AACUUUGCGCAGCGGCGAUAUCGUAACCAAUGAGGUUUAUCCGAGGUGCGAUUAUUGCUAGUUGGA
rnacentral:snRNA from 1 species